UAAAUAGCCCGGCCCGCUUUUGCGGGUCGCUGGCUUCUUAGAGGGACUAUCGGCUCAAGCCGAUGGAAGUUUGAGGCAAUAACAGGUCUGUGAUGCCCUUAGAUGUUCUG
rnacentral:rRNA from 1 species